GCUGGGGUGUCUGAGUGGUUUAAGGAGCCAGUCUCGAAAACUGGUAACUGCGCAAGCGGUACGCGAGUUCGAAUCUCGUCCCCAGCG
rnacentral:tRNA from 1 species